CCCAGUCGGGCAGGGCCUGGUACAUCGGCAUCAACCGGGACGGACAGGUCAUGAAGGGCAACAGGGUCAAGAAGACCAAGGGGGCCGCCCACUUCCUGCCCAAACUCAUAGAAGUGGCAAUGUACAGGGAGCCUUCGCUGCAUGAAGUGGUGGUGGUUGCCGAGCUGAGUCCGCCCAGAAAAACGGCCAAGACCUCCGAUUCGCCCGUGCUGCAGAACGGCAAGAAAGACCCGCCCUCCAAAACCAAAACUUCCUAGCGCACGGAGAAGACAGGGGGCAAUGGGCACUGACUGGCACUGGCACUGACUGGCG